UGGGGAAUCUUGGACAAUGGGCGCAAGCCUGAUCCAGCCAUGCCGCGUGAGUGAAGAAGGCCUUCGGGUUGUAAAGCUCUUUUACCAGGGACGAUAAUGACGGUACUAUUUGUAAGGUCCGGCUAACUACGUGCCAGCAGCCGCGGUAAUACGUAGGGACCAAGCGUUGUUCGGAUUUACUGGGCGUAAAGGGUGCGUAGGCGGCAUAUCAAGUCACUUGUGAAAUCUCCGGGCUUAACUCGGAACUGCCAAGUGAUACUGAUGUGCUAGAGUGCAGAAAGGGCAACUGGAAUUCUUGGUGUAGCGGUGAAAUGCGUAGAUAUCAAGAGGAACACCUGAGGCGAAGGCGAGUUGCUAGGCUGACACUGACGCUGAGGUACGAAAGCUAGGGGAGCGAACGGGGAUUAGAUACCCCAGUAGUCCCUGAGCGGGCUGGCAAGGCGCAU
rnacentral:rRNA from 1 species